AGCAGCCGCGGUAAUUCCAGCUCCAAUAGCGUAUAUUAAAGUUGCUGCAGUUAAAAAGCUCGUAGUUGAAUUUCGGGACCAAUAUGUCGGUCGUGCUUCGGUACGUACUGGCAUCGUUGGUUUCUCCUUUCUGAAGAACCAUGAUGUCAUUUAUUUGGUGUCGUGGGGAAUCAGGACUGUUACUUUGAAAAAAUUAGAGUGUUUAAAGCAGGCUCACGCUUGAAUACAUUAGCAUGGAAUAAUGAAAUAGGACGUUCGAUUCUAUUUUGUUGGUUUCUAGGAUCGACGUAAUGAUUAAUAGGGAUAGUUGGGGGCAUUAGUAUUCAAUUGUCAGAGGUGAAAUUCUUGGAUUUAUUGAAGACUAACUACUGCGAAAGCAUUUGCCAAGGAUGUUUUCAUUAAUCAAGAACGAAAGUUAGGGGAUCGAAGACGAUCAGAUACCGUCGUAGUCUUAACCAUAAACUAUGCCGACUAGGGAUCGGAUGAUGUUAAUUUUUUAAUGACUCAUUCGGCGCCUUACG
rnacentral:rRNA from 1 species